UACAUGGGCUUGUGACUUUCUCA
rnacentral:siRNA from 1 species